CCGCGGUCGUGGUUCCCGCCCAUUCCGUUCUUCACCCCGCCGCCUCCGGCGUUCCCGUUCCCGCUGCCGCCGAUCCCGUUCUUCACCCCGCCGUCGCCUCCACCACCGGCGUUCCCUUUCCCACUACCACCAUGGCCAUGGUCGCCACCGUCGCCUCCGCCGUCACCGUCAUUCCCGUUUCCUCAUCUGCCGCCGAUCUUUACAACACCAUCGCCUCCGCCACCGCCGCCGCCAGAAUUCCCGUUCCGUAUACCACCACUCCCACAGCUGCCUCCUCUCCCUCGCUUCCCACCACUACCAUCACUGUAUUCACCGCCACCUCCUCCACCUCCACCACCACCUCCG
rnacentral:lncRNA from 1 species